rnacentral:rRNA from 1 species
UACGGGGGGGGGCAAGCGUUGUUCGGAAUUACUGGGCGUAAAGGGCUCGUAGGCGGCCAACUAAGUCAGACGUGAAAUCCCUAGGCUCAACCUAGGAACUGCGUCUGAUACUGGAUGGCUUGAAUCCGGGAGAGGGAUGCAGAAUUCCAGGUGUAGCGGUGAAAUGCGCAGAUAUCAGGAGGAACACCGGUGGCGAAGGCGGGUCUCUGGGCCGAUACUGACGCUGAGGAGCGAAAGCGUGGGGAGCGAACAGG